GGAGUAACGACGUAACGAAUACUGCCUUAGAGAGGGGAGUAACUAGAUAGAAAUAUUUGCUAAUACCGCAUAAGACCACAGGUAGGCAUCUACUAGGGGUAAAAGGAGCAAUCCGCUUUAAGAUGAGUUUGCGUACUAUUAGCUAGUUGGUGAGGUAACGGCCCACCAAGGCGACGAUGGUUAGCCGGCCUGAGAGGGUGAACGGCCACAUUUGGAACUGAGAUACGGUCCAGACUCCUACGGGAGGCAGCAGUGAGGAAUAUUGGGCAAUGGGCCGAAAGCCUGACCCAGCAACGCCGCGUGAAGGAAGAAGGUUUUAGGAUUGUAAACUUCUGUUGUAAGGGAAAAGAAAGUGAUGGUACCUUACGAGGAAGCUACGGCAAACUAUGUGCCAGCCGCCGC
rnacentral:rRNA from 1 species